rnacentral:rRNA from 1 species
UACGGAGGGUGCAAGCGUUGCUCGGAAUUAUUGGGCGUAAAGGGUAGGUAGGUGGUCUCAUUUGUCUGGGGUGAAAGCCUUGAGCUUAACUCAAGAAGUGCCCCAGAAACGGUGAGACUAGAGUCCUGGAGAGGGUCGUGGAAUUCCCGGUGUAGCGGUGAAAUGCGUAGAGAUCGGGAGGAACACCAGAGGCGAAAGCGGCGACCUGGACAGGUACUGACACUCAACUACGAAAGCGUGGGGAGCAAACAGG